CAGUAGCCACGGUAAUACGGAGGGUGCAAGCGUUAAUCGGAAUUACUGGGCGUAAAGCGCACGCAGGCGGUGAGUUAAGUCUGCUGUGAAAUCCCCGGGCUCAACCUGGGAAUGGUAGUGGAUACUGGCUCGCUAGAGUGUGUCAGAGGAUGGUGGAAUUCCCGGUGUAGCGGUGAAAUGCGUAGAGAUCGGGAGGAACAUCAGUGGCGAAGGCGGCCAUCUGGGACAACACUGACGCUGAGGCACGAAAGCGUGGGGAGCGAACAGGAUUAGAUACCCCUGUAGUCCCUGUCUCUUAUAC
rnacentral:rRNA from 1 species